CCUGGCCCCGUGCCACACAACUGUAGUCCCAGUUACUCAGGAGGAUGAGCAGGAGGAUUGCUUGAGUCCAGGAGUUCUGGGUUGUCAGGCACUAUACUGAUGGUAUGUCUGUACCAAGUUCAGCGUCAACAUGAUGACCUCCUGGGAGUGGGGGACCACCAGGUUUCCUAAGGAGGAAUGAACCAGCCCAGGCUGGAAACUGAGCAGGUCAGAACUCCUGUGCUGAUCAGUAGUGGAUUACACCUGUGAAUAGCCACUGCACUCCAGCCUGGGUAACACAGCAAGACCCCAUCUCAAU
ensembl:misc_RNA Metazoa_SRP Metazoan signal recognition particle RNA